AGUGCGCAUUGCCUACCCCGUGCUACAGGACUUCGCUGAGCGCCAGGCGCAGGGACUGGACGCAUACGGACCCCCGGGAGCCCCGGAACUCGCGUUCCCACGCCAGACCUCAUCCCCUUCUGACAGAGACGCCCUCGUCCCACCGUCGCCGCAGGCGCCAGGGGUCCCUCCCCACCGCCGAGGUCUAGCCGCCGCCCGCCCGCCUUCAGGGCAGCGCGGGGACCCCCUGGCCCUCGCCCAGUGCUCCGGGGCUCACCCGCCGCUCCUCGCCGCCUCCGGAGGCGAGGGAUUGUUUCCCACAAGGGACUGGAGUCCAGGGAAGGACUCGCCUGGAGCGGGAGGCGGGGAUGCACAUGCGCAGAGGGAGAGGCCGAGCGCCCGAGUUAGGCUGGUGGAUGCGAUGCGGGGCUUGGAAGCGGCGCUAGACGGUGCCUGUCAGCUCUGGCCGCAACCCUCAGUUGUAAAAUGAGGCUGAUAGUGCCUACCUAGCAGGGGUUUUAUGAGAAUUGGAGGCGCUUACGUUGUAAAAGCAUUUAAACCGGUGUCUGACACAUAAAUUGUUCAGUAUAUUUCUCACAAUUAUAUAUCAUGCUGGUCAUCAUAAGGCUCUCCUGCAAAACAGCCUUGUAUAGUGGGUUGAGAGAUUACUGUCUCAGUUACCCACUCCUGCUUGGAACCAGGAUUCUGUCAGUGUCCCCAGAGGUUGUGGAUCAAAUCAAUGUGCCUGUUAGACACAAGCCAAGAGAAGGAAAGGUGUGCUUGAAUUCAUUCACGAUCAUGCAUGCAACCAAUCAAGGAUAUUGUCACCGGGGGUCCUUGCUCCCAGAGCUCCCAAGAUGGUGGUGGGCUGCUUCCGAGAUGGGGGCAAGCCUCAUGUUCUCUGACCUGGGGUUCUUGGCCUCAUGGAUUACAAGGAAUGGAAUUUUGGGCUAUGUGGUGAGUGUUAUAGCUCAAUUAGAAGCCGUGGGUCACGGAAGAGAACUGUGGAACCCAGUGACUAGUGUUCAGCUCGAUUAGGACCAACCUGGGACUUAGCUGUGCAGGAACAAUGGCAAGCCUUUAGCCCAACUUGGGAGCAGCAAUGGGCACCUCGCUGGAUCAGGAGCACAGCGGACACCCUGCCAGAUCCGGAGGGAUGGAAGUCAGCGGCGGGUCUGCGAAGGCCGCAAACAGCAGCGGUGGACAGCGAGCGAAAGCUCAGCUCAAGCCGUAACAAACACGGACCAGAAGAGAGUGCAGUUGCAAGAUUUAAUAGAAUGAAAACACAGCUCCCAUGCAAAGGGAGGGGACCCAAAGUGGGUAGCUGUUGCCGGCUCCAAUGCCUGGGUUUCUAUCCCGAUCAUUGUCCCUCCCGCUGUGCUCUUAGGCAAUAGAUGAUUGGCUAUUUCUUUACCUACUGUUUUUGCCUAAUUAGCAUUUUAGUUAGUUCUCUUUACUACCUGAUUGGUCGGAUGUGAGCUAAGUGCAAGCCCCUUGUUUAAAUGUGGAUGCAGUCAACUUCUCAGCUAAGCUUAGGGAUUCUUAGUCGGCCUAGGAAAUCCAGCUAGUCCUGUCUCUCAGUAUCACAGUACAUUUACUUGUCAUGUCUUAGCCUUGGCCAGUUUGUAAUAGUUUCUUGCUCCUACCUUGUCUUUCAUGACCUUGCUAUGAAGAUGAAAGCACGCUCUCUUGACUUCAGUCCUCCCACCUUGGCUUCCCAAAGUGCUUGGGAUUACAGGCAUGAGCAACCACACCCAGCCUAUAGUUUAACUUUAAAACAAGAACGAUAAUGAUCCCUUCCUGAAACUAACCCCCUCCUUGUUUGGGGACAAAAACCGUUUUUGUAAAACUAGUGGAAGUCCACAAGUUUAGAAUUUUGGUAGGAACCUGAAUUCUGUAAGAUGCAGGCAUAAACUCUAACCAGUUUUUGCUUUUAUAAUCUGCCUUUUUGUAACUGCUUACUACUCCAGAGUCACAUAGCCAGUGGUCACAAGAUUUAUAACAUCUCCAAUUGUCACUAUAGAUAAUGUCACUAUUGUAAAACCUAAAACUAGUGUUUGAGUUAUUUUUCAGACUUUACAUUCUGAUGGACCAACUGGUGCCACUGGGACCAGUAACCCAUAGCAAAAAAUGGACUCAGUUGAUCCUGUGACCCCCUUCAAGAACCGAUUCAACACAAGAAGACAGUUUCAACAGCCCUAUGAUUUCAUCCCUGACCCAGCCAAUCACCAUUCCCCAUUCUCUAGCCUCCUGAUGGGCAGGAGGCUAGAGAGGUUCAAAGUUUUUCAUCCUUGAAAGACUGUAGCCUCCAAAUUCUCAGGAAGGCAGAUUUGAGAAUUAUCUCUUAUACUUGCUUGGCCACCCUGCAAUUAUUAAACUCUUUUUCUGCUGCAA
rnacentral:lncRNA from 1 species